rnacentral:rRNA from 1 species
GUCCUAGCCGUAAACGAUGGGCACUAAGUAGAGGGGUUUUGAUUAUCCCUCUGCCGGAGCUAACGCAUUAAGUGCCCCGCCUGGGGAGUACGGCCGCAAGGCUAAAACUCAAAAGAAUUGACGGGGGCUCGCACAAGCGGUGGAGCAUGUGGCUUAAUUCGAUGCAACGCGAAGAACCUUACCGGGGUUUGACAUGGUAGAAGUAGGAGCCCGAAAGGGUAACGAACGGUAUCCAGUCCGUAGCUAUCACAGGUGUUGCAUGGCUGUCGU